rnacentral:rRNA from 1 species
UGUCUUUUUGAAAUUAAUAUAAAGUUUGAUCUGCCCACUGAUUAAUAAUUGAAGGGCUGCAGUAUAUUGACUGUACAAAGGUAGCAUAAUCAUUAGUCAUUUAAUUGAUGACUUGUAUGAAGGAUUGGAUGAAAUAUAAUCUGUCUCUUAAUUAAUAAUAGAAUUUAAUUUUUUAAUUAAAAAGUUAAGAUGGUUUAAAAAGACGAGAAGACCCUAUAGAGUUUAAUAAAUAAAUUAUUUGAUAUUAUUUAUAAUUAUAAAAUUGAAAUUAAUUUUAUUUAUUUUGUUGGGGUGAUAAAAAAAUAUAAAAAACUUUUUUUUUUAGUUAACAUUUAUAAGUGAUUAAAUGAUCCAAUAUUAUUGAUUAUAAGAAUAAAUUACCUUAGGGAUAACAGCGUAAUUUUUUUUUUUAGUUCAUAUAAGAAAAAGAGUUUGCGACCUCGAUGUUGGAUUAAGAUAAAAUUUAAAUGCAGAAG